CUCAGGAACACAGCCUCUUCCUCUUUUUUUUCCCCUCCUAGCCCUAUUCAGGCAGGAGCUGCUCUUCUGGGGUAUCGCGAUCCACUUAAGGAUGAGGCAGACUUGGUGACAAGCUGGUCUGAGCAGCGCUUCCAGAGCCAGAACUGAGCCCAGUGAGAGCGCACCCUGGGGCAGCCUGGAUUCCUGGGGUGUCCCCGGCAGCCACACACAGCCAUGCACUACCCAACUGCACUCCUCUUCCUCAUCCUGGCCAAUGGGGCCCAGGCCUUUCGCAUCUGCGCCUUCAAUGCCCAGCGGCUGACGCUGGCCAAGGUGGCCAGGGAGCAGGUGAUGGACACCUUAGUUCGGAUACUGGCUCGCUGUGACAUCAUGGUGCUGCAGGAGGUGGUGGACUCUUCUGGCAGCGCCAUCCCCCUCCUGCUUCGAGAACUC
rnacentral:lncRNA from 1 species